AUUUUAUGAAUUAAAGGGUCAGUUGCUAAACGAAGGAUGACAGUGCUUUUAAGUACCCAUUUCAGAUUGUUUCGAAAAAGUGGAACUAGCUUUUAAUAUUAAAUUGUGCAGUGUCCAAGACGACGAUAGCUAAAUAAUAUAUUCAUAUAUUGCGGUUUUUUUUCACCUUGUCCAGCGAUGGAAACCAGUAAUCAGCGAUCCGCAGGCAAUGAAGCGCUCCAAUAUAUAACAGCAACAACUUACAAAGAUGUCGAAACUAAAUGGAGUUUGCGUGUAUUAUUAAAAAAAAACCAUCCAAGCUGGUCUGGCAGCGAAGAGAAAUAUUAGUACGUCAAAUUAUUUUCCCGCGCUGACUGUAAACGUCAAUCGAGGGGCACAUAUUUGCCGCGCUGGGAACAGAACCCAGGACUUCCAAAUACCGAACGGGCGAAGGGACCGCGCCACAGAGGUCGUCAGUCAUAUGUCGAGAGCGGUGUAUUCAUGUGAUCCUUUAAUGACCUUAAAAUCAUUCGAUAUCGAGCGAAAAUCUCAAUGUUUUUCCGUAAGACAUGUAAAUAGCAUCCCUAAUGCUACUUUUGUGCCGAUGCAAAUAAGCUAACGCUUUCAAUAUCCAAGACAAACCUGUCACCACACAAACAGACAAACAUUCUCAUAACGCGAACUCCGCGGGGUGGAACUAAUUGUCCUCUACGGAACCCAUUCUGAGAACUACGCGCGGUAGGGCCGCCAUUUUCAUAUUGGAGAACGUGAUAUUUCUAAUAAUUGUAUCCUAUCUAUAUCUGUACAAAUUGGCAAACUUAGUCCCAAAAAUCACUGCAUUCUCGUUGAUAAAUUUAUCAAUUAGUGUUAAAUCCAUUAUAUUUCGUGUGAAAAAAUGUCAAGGCAAUUGCAACCACACCAUUAAUAUUUGCCAAGAAAGACGCCGUGUUUACCACGACCCUCAGGGAUGAGGAAUACAACUGUAAGGAGGAGCAUAUCAAAAACAAUAUAAUAUCAAAAAUAAUAAACCUUAUUUUUUUUACUA